UACGGUAGGGUGCGAGCGUUAUCCGGAAUUAUUGGGCGUAAAGAGCUCGUAGGCGGUUUUGUCGCGUCUGCUGUGAAAAACUGGAGGCUCAACCUCCAGCCUGCAGUGGGUACGGGGCAGACUAGAGUGCGGUAGGGGGAGAUUGGAAUUCCUGGUGUAGCGGUGGAAUGCGCAGAUAUCAGGAGGAACACCGAUGGCGAAGGCAGAUCUCUGGGCCGUAACUGACGCUGAGGAGCGAAAGCAUGGGGGAGCGAACAGG
rnacentral:rRNA from 1 species